rnacentral:lncRNA from 1 species
UAUUGAGAUCAUGUAGCAUGAGUGGUUCCAAGUAGUUACGACCAUGGAGAUAUAACUUGUUCUUCUCCAGGAUUGCUACGGGUAAGGGCAUGAGACCGCAUCUGUCGAACAAAGGAAAAGUAUUGGUGAGAUCUAUAGAACACAUUUGCUUCCAUGUCUUUGAAGAAGAAUCCAAGGACCAUAUGACUUGCGUUGGCCACGUUUUCUCGGAAGCGCACAAACAGUGAUCAAGGAUGAACAAGACUACGUUACUUGGGAGAGGUGCAUCAUCAGCAAAAGGAGCUUUACAGAUGACUUGGAAAGUUUCAGUGUGGAGAUCGAAAGACAAAACCUUUGUUUCUACACAGUCGGUGAGCCAAUAGAGUGACCCGUCAAAAUAGACUGGCUUCUGGAAUCUGAGAAUAGGAUAAGGAGAAGAAGCGACAAGGUUCCUCCAGGAGUGGGUGCUAAAGUCGAAAACUUCACAAGUGGUAACAUUGUCUAGUCCAAAUUCGGAUGAAUUAUACAACCAAACAGGCUUGUAAGUACCACUCAACUUGUCUUUACCAAAUCCAAGCUCAUAAGUUAGGUCGCCGCUGGCAAAGGGGGGUCCUUUGUCGAUGAUAAGGCAUUGCAGGGAGGAAAAAGGAAAACUCCGAUGCCAUCGAGUGGCCGGAUUCACCACGACGUUGGGUGUGUGAAUACAGAAGAAGCAAACCAGACCGUCGCAGCUACCAUAGCAAAGCAAGACGUUCGGAAAAGGGAACUUGACAGUACGGUAUAUGCAAGAAGAAGAAGAGCCCAAGGCAUGUUGAGCUACAUCAUCAGGAGGAUCCUCGUAAUAGGCUACGAAAAGGAGAUCAUGACCUCGUGAUUGCCUGCGAAGGUUCAACUGCCUUGACUGGAAACUAGGGGAAUCGAUUGUGAAUAUCCACUUCUUGGACACAGACCUGAAUCUCCGCAGAGAUUCCACGGGAAGUCUCUCGAGUAUGAGCUCUAUCACAUCGUGUGGUAGCACUUCCAAUUCCACACUCGAGCUGGAGCCACGUCUUCUCUUAUCAGAGCCAUGUCUUUUCAAAAUUGAGCCAUGUCUUCUUUUCAACAUUGUAUCUUGCCUCUCUCACCUUAUUGAUGAUCUGAGAGGGUCUUUAUAUAUGCAGAGCAGCCGACCUAUAAGCAUUGAAAAAGGAAACAUUUACAUUAUGAGAAAAGGAAUUUUCCAAAACUUUUUUCUCCCAGUCGAAUCUUAAUUAUCGAAAAUCUCAUCAAUUUGAAAUCAAAAUUAAUGAAUAAAAGCUAAACAUAAUCACCUCACGCCAUAGAUCGCAUCAAAUGAGAAUCGAUUUCUGAAUGAGGCUCUCACUAGAGGGAUAGGUCGCAUCGCAAUCCCAGAACAACGUAAUUAGUUAGUUUGCGGUUAAAAUUCCAUGUAUUUCAUACGGAUCUAUGGAUUUUUGAUGAAUAAUGAAUGAAAUAAUCGAAAGAAAACUUAUAACAGAAGGAUAGAAACAAAAUUGAGUGGCUGCGUGUACUUAGGGUUACAUGCGACGAAAUGUAGAAGAUGAAUAUGAAAAGACCAUUUUAACCUCAACUAAAACAGAAAAUAAAAGAAAAAAGAGGCAUUACACAUUUAGGACACUUUAUGGAGUUUAUUUACAUUUUAAGAUAGGCGUGGACAUUUUAUCCGGACCCAAAGACCCGACCCGAAAUCGACACGAAAAAACCCGGUUCGAAUAGGUACCGACCCGAUAAAAUUAUCCUAUCGGGUCUUGUUGCAGAGGAUCCGCGGAUCUUGGACCCGACCCGACCCAAACCCGAAACCCGAUAAGUACCUGAAUUAAUAAUGUAAAUUAAAUAAAAUGCAUCAAAGGAGAGUCAAAGAUAGGUUAUUUGUGUAGAGAACAUGGAGAUCAACCACUAAGAGACAACAAAUUGUUGUUGUAUAUCGCAUAGUUUAAUAUAUAUACUCAUUUUAAUAUAAUAAAAACACAAAUUUUGAAUAAAAUUUUGAAUAUUUUUGGAUAUAAAUAUUUUCAGAUAUUUUUUUGUAUUUUAAGGUCUUUUUUAGAUCGAACUCGACCCGAAACCAAACCAAAUCCGAACUGAUAAAUUCUAAUUACCCGAAUGGAUCUAACUAUCUAAGACCCGACCCGAUCCGGACCCGGCAUGAUCCGAACCGACCCGGAAUCGAAAAUUUGAAAUUACCCUAUCGGAUCCUAAACUUUUAGACCCGAAAUAUCCAGAUCCGAAAGGACCCGAUCCGAACCCGAUCCGACGACCCGAAUGUCCAAGCUUACUUUAAGACACAUCUUACUUAAAUAACACAUUCACGAUUUUCAAGAAGCUUUCUAGACAAAAAUAUCAUCUUCUCAACAAAACGAAGCUAUGGAAAAUCGUUGUUUAGUUGUUGUGUUUAGUUAAUAGUACGUAUUGUUAGCUAUUAGUUUUUUGUUAUUUUAAUUUAUUAUUAUUAUUCAUUUCAUUCAAUGUUUUUAUUUGAUUUUUCUUAAAAUUAAAAAUAUAUAAAAUAAAUAUAAUUAUUACAAUAAAUUGUAAUUUUUUCUACUACAUUUUAAAAUCCACUUUCAUAGAUAAUUUUUUUAUAUUAAAAUUAUAUAAAAUGUACGGACAUAAAAAAUAUGAACAUGAAUAGCUGAAAAAAUAAAAAACUCUUAUAUAUAAGUUAUAGUAGACAAUAGACGUGAAUUUAUUUUUUGUGGACAAGUUAUAAUAAAUAAUAUAUUGUUAAUUUUAUAUUAAACUUUUGUUUCAUGUUAAAUGAACACACAAUCAAAAUUGUUUUUACCGUUUUUCACAAAACAUAUAGUUUCUUGCUUGUUUCUAAUUUAAACCGGGUGUGACUGGUAACCAUCAAGGAACACUAUGAAUGAUUAGGAAAAGAAUGAAUAGGAAUAAAAUUUUGGGAACGAUGAGAAAUAAGGGUUCCUUAUCAAAAUUAACAAGGAACAAAUUUGCAUUAUAAUUCUCUACAAAAAAGGGAAUGAAAAGGAAUGAAAAGGAAAAAAUAUUCCUCACGAAUGGUAACAUUUUUGAGGAACAUUAAGGAAUGCAGUGUUCCUCUUCGUUCCCUUGAUUACCAUUCAGAGACAAUCAUUACGAAAAUGUAGGUGAAUAUAGUUUAACCACCAUCUGAGUUUUCUUUAAAAACUUAAAUAUGUGGAUUGAAGAAAAAUGGACACAAAAAAUGUGGAUGAGACAAAUGUGGACACGAGUUCAUGUGAGCGAACAAAUGUAAAAUAUCCACUUCAAAUAAUUCGAGUAAUGGUGCACUAAAAAAAGAAUAAUUCGAGUAAUGGACUGGGGUUAGAGUUACAGUUACGUACAUGACAUGUAAGUUAUAAACACUAUUUGAUUUGAUUACAUUUUAUAUGAAUAUGUGUGUCAUCACUGUAUGUGAAAUGAUAGAGGGAUCAUGGCUCAUGGGUAUUUACUGUUAUUUUGCUUCUAAGGCUUCGAAUGGUGACCAUCGUUCCGCUCCGCCCCGCAGUUAACAAUAACAAAAAUCUUUACGUAUACUAUAUAUCUAUAUAUUUUUAUAACUGUUAGAACCGCACCGCAGUUGAACCGCUUGUUCCGCACCGCUCAAACCGCAGUCACCAUUCAGAGCCUAAAUUCACAUAGACAAAUUUUGUCUCUUCUCGUGUCCAAACCAUUUUGUUCUCGUUAUACACUAGACUUUCAUCUAAUCACUGUUCAACAUUUGGAUAUUGUAAAUGCAUAUAUACAUAUAUAUAUAUAUAUCUAUAUAUAUACAUAAUAUACGGUAUGUCAACUUAAAUACAAAUGUCAGUGAUGAUCACAUGUAUAUCAUUUAUGUUGAGUCAUAAAAGCAUUCACUGAUUCUCGACUAUUUUCGCGUAUUACCUGGAAACUAACCGUUCGUACCAAACACUCCUUCCUCUUGCCCGUGGUCUAGAAAAUUUUGCUGUUCUAAGCAAAAUAAUUCUUCUUUAAAAUUCACUAAUUCAAUUGAGUUAGUUAAACUUUUCUUGCAGAUUAUUUAGUUUGUAUUUUUAUUAGAUAAUAUUGUUUGUAAUUUUUAUUAGUGAGUUUUGAUUGAUUUUGAAGAUUAUUAUGCAAAUAUAAUUUUUUUAAUAUUGGAUUCCGAUUUAGGAUUAAAGACAGUGUUAAGGCGUUUAAAGCAUCAUUAACCCAAAGACUCCUUUAAGGUCUUUUAAGUACUUUUUAAAUAGUAAAUGUUAGUUAAGAGACUUAGUUAAAAAAAUUCAACAUUUAUGAGAUCCAAUGCUAGUCUCUUAAUUAAAGAUUCUUAAUAAAAAAAUUAUUAAACAUUUUAGGAUCAUCACAUAUUGGACAAUAACAUUGCACGCCUUUUAUUAUUACCAUAAAGGUUACCAAAAAGGUUACAAAUUAUACAAGAGAAUCCAUAAUAUUUGUGUGGUUUAGCAAAAGAUAGCAUAUACUUAGAUUUAUCUGAGCAAAUCCUCUUAUAGUAAGUUUAGUAGUACCUUUAGGACAUGGGCAAUUGUGCCUUCUGGCUUGGAAGCAUAUGAGACUUGGAACACUGCAUUAUGUCUGUUUGGAUACAUUUAAUGGAUUUUCUUUCACCAAUACCUGCAGUUUUUACAGAUUCUGAGAACCAGUCCUUCAUCUUAGAGCAUGAUUAUCGGGUGAGGAUUUCUAAAUUUUUUUUUGUUUUAUCUGAUUUAAAAAUAAAAAAAUUAAAACGAAACCAAUCGCGGGCCGCCACGUGUCGUGGGGUCCAUAAAAUAGUGUAACAAAUUGGCCAAGAGCGAUCCAUAACUAGCGACUUUGGUAACCAUUUUUUUUAAAAAACGUAGGAUCCACACCCUUAUUUCAUGCAGAAACCCAUUGUGUUCCGCGAUAAAGGUGCUCUUAUCUUUGUCUAACCUCAGUGAAGGAACAUUUAUAACAAAUGUUUUUCUUUAAAUUACCUCAGCUAAUUGUUUCUCAGUCGUCUCCACUCCUUAAAGGGUUUUCAAGAGUGGAGUAAGGUAAUGGUAGACCUUUCUUUAACUAUUGGUUUAUAAGUUGUUCAGUGUGUACCUAAACCAAAUUACAAUUACUUGGUGUUUUUUCUUUGUUUCUUUUUUUUAGACUUUUAUAAGAACGCUGAAAUUAUUAUACUCUCAGACGUCGACAAAACAAUACUCUCAGAUGAACCAUAUAAAGCUACGUGCAUCCCUAUAACUAAGCGACAUUAAAUUAAGAUUGACUCAACAUUCCCCAGUUUGGUACGUGUUUUGGAUAAAGCUAAAAAGUCCAUUUCUUUAUAAGAUUGACUCAACAUUAAAUCUAUAAUUAUCCUUUUAAAAUUCAAUUCAUUUUUCUUCAGGUUUGAUUAUUUACAUAUUAUGUAUCCAAAUACAUUUGUUCAGGUUACAAAUGGUUGAUUGAUACAUAAAUAAGGAAACAUAAAAGAUUAAACAGAGAACAAACUUUCGAAAUAAUAAAUACAAUCUCCGGGGGUGGUAGGUGUGGAGACAACCUCAAAAGAUUUGGUAUUGAGAUCAUGUAGCAUGAGUGGUUCCAAGUAGUUACGACCAUGGAGAUAUAACUUGUUCUUCUCCAGGAUUGCUACGGGUAAGGGUAUGGGACCGUAUCUGUCGAACAAAGGAAAAGUAUUGGUGAGAUCUAUAGAACACAUUUGCUUCCAUGUCUUUGAAGAAGAAUCCAAAGACCAUAUGACUUGCGUUGGCCACGUUUUCUCAGAAGCGCACAAACAGUCAUCAAGGAUGAACAAGACUACGUUACUUGGGCGAGGUGCAUCGGCAAAGGGAGUUUUAC